rnacentral:rRNA from 1 species
AUACGUAGGGGGCGAGCGUUGUCCGGAAUGAUUGGGCGUAAAGGGCGCGUAGGCGGCCGCUUAAGGCUGGAGUGAAAGUCCUGUUUUCAAGAUGGGAAUUGCUUUGGAUACUGGGGGGCUUGAGUGCAGGAGAGGUUAUCGGAAUUCCCGGUGUAGCGGUGAACUGCGUAGAGAUCGGGAGGAACACCAGUGGCGAAGGCGGGUAACUGGACUGCAACUGACGCUGAGGCGCGAAAGUGUGGGGAGCAAACAGGAUUAGAUACCCUGGUAGUCCACACUGUAAACGAUGAAUGCUAGGUGUAAGAGGUAUCGACCCCUUUUGUGCCGGAGUCAACACAAUAAGCAUUCCGCCUGGGGAGUACGGCCGCAAGGUUGAAACUCAAAGGAAUUGACGGGG